GCGGGCGUGGCUCAGUGGUAGAGCAUUUCGUUGCCAACGAAAGGGUCGGCGGUUCGAAUCCGCUCGCCCGCUCCA
rnacentral:tRNA from 1 species